rnacentral:misc_RNA from 1 species
GAUGAAGAACGUAGCGAAAUGUGAUAAGUAAUGUGAAUUGCAGAAUUCAGUGAAUCAUCGAAUCUUUGAACGCACAUUGCGCCCAUUAGUAUUCUAGUGGGCAUGCCUGUUCGAGCGUCAUUUCAACCCUUAAGCCUAGCUUAGUGUUGGGAGACUGCCUAAUACGCAGCUCCUCAAAACCAGUGGCGGAGUCUGUUCGUGCUCUGAGCGUAGUAAUUUUUUAUCUCGCUUCUGCAAGCCGGCCAGACGACAGCCAUAAACCGCACCCUCUCGGGGGGCACUUUUUUAAUGGUUGACCUCGGAUCAGGUAGGAAUACCCGCUGAACUUAAGCAUAUCAAUAAGCGGAGGA